GACGAACGCUGGCGGCGUGCUUAACACAUGCAAGUCGAACGGAAAGGCCCUGCUUUUGUGGGGUGCUCGAGUGGCGAACGGGUGAGUAACACGUGAGUAACCUGCCCUUGACUUUGGGAUAACUUCAGGAAACUGGGGCUAAUACCGGAUAGGAGCUCCUGCUGCAUGGUGGGGGUUGGAAAGUUUCGGCGGUUGGGGAUGGACUCGCGGCUUAUCAGCUUGUUGGUGGGGUAGUGGCUUACCAAGGCUUUGACGGGUAGCCGGCCUGAGAGGGUGACCGGCCACAUGGGGACUGAGAUACGGACCAGACUCCUACGGGAGGCAGCAGUGGGGAAUAUUGCACAAUGGGCGGAAGCCUGAGGCAACAACGCCGCGUGCGGGAUGACGGCCUUCGGGUUGUAAACCGCUUUCGCCUGUGACGAAGCGUGAGUGACGGUAAUGGAUAAAGAAGCACCGGCUAACUACGUG
rnacentral:rRNA from 1 species